rnacentral:rRNA from 1 species
UACAGAGGGUGCAAGCGUUGCUCGGAAUUAUUGGGCGUAAAGGGUAGGUAGGUGGUCUUAUUUGUCUGAGGUGAAAGCCUUGAGCUUAACUCAAGAAGUGCCUCAGAAACGGUAGGACUAGAGUCCUGGAGAGGGUCGUGGAAUUCCCGGUGUAGCGGUGAAAUGCGUAGAGAUCGGGAGGAACACCAGAGGCGAAAGCGGCGACCUGGAAAGGAACUGACACUCAACUACGAAAGCGUGGGGAGCAAACAGG